rnacentral:rRNA from 1 species
CAAUAGCGUAUAUUAAAGUUGUUGCGGUUAAAAAGCUCGUAGUUGGAUUUCUGCUGAGAACGACCGGUCCGCCCUUUGGGUGUGUAUCUGGCUCUUUCUUGGCAUCUUCUUGGUGAACGUUGCUGCACUUGACUGUGUGGAGCGCUACCCAGGACUUUUACUUUGAGGAAAUUAGAGUGUUUCAAGCAGGCAUACGCCUUGAAUACAUUAGCAUGGAAUAAUAAGAUAGGACCUCGGUUCUAUUUUGUUGGUUUCUAGAGCUGAGGUAAUGAUUAAUAGGGAUAGUUGGGGGCAUUCGUAUUUAACUGUCAGAGGUGAGAUUCUUGGAUUUGUUAAAGACGGACUACUGCGAAAGCAUUUGCCAAGGAUGUUUUCAUUGA